ACGGAAGGCAGCAGUGGGGAAUAUUGCACAAUGGGGGAAACCCUGAUGCAGCGACGCCGCGUGAGUGAAGAAGUAUUUCGGUAUGUAAAGCUCUAUCAGCAGGAAAGAAAAUGACGGUACCUGACUAAGAAGCCCCGGCUAGCUACGUGCCAGCAGCCGCGGUAAUACGUAGGGGGCAAGCGUUAUCCGGAUUUACUGGGUGUAAAGGGAGCGUAGACGGCAUAGCAAGUCUGAAGUGAAAGCCCGGGGCUCAACCCCGGAACUGCUUUGGAAACUGUCAAGCUAGAGUGCAGGAGAGGUAAGUGGAAUUCCUAGUGUAGCGGUGAAAUGCGUAGAUAUUAGGAGGAACACCAGUGGCGAAGGCGGCCUGCUGGGCUCUAACUGACGCUGAGGCUCGAAAGUGUGGGGAGCAAACAGGAUUAGAUACCCUGGUA
rnacentral:rRNA from 1 species